AGUGAAGCGGGAUGAGCUCAAAUUUAAAAUCUGGCUGGUUUACUAGUCCGAAUUGUAGUUUAUAGAAGCGUUUUCGGUGGCAGCCUGGGUAUAAAUCCUUUGGAAUAGGGUAUCAUAGAGGGUGAGAAUCCCGUCUUUGACUCAGUGCAUGCUACUAUGUGAUACGUUUUCAAAGAGUCGAGUUGUUUGGGAAUGCAGCUCAAAAUGGGUGGUAAAUUUCAUCUAAGGCUAAAUAUUGGCGAGAGACCGAUAGCGAACAAGUACCGUGAGGGAAAGAUGAAAAGAACUUUGAAAAGAGAGUUAAACAGUGCGUGAAAUUGUUGAAAGGGAAACGUUUGACACCAGUCAUGCGGGUGGAAAAUCAGUCUUUUGCAAUGGGGAGUUGUGGGCGUUCAGACCGCAAGGCUGGCGUUUGCUUCAUCUUUGUUGUAAGUGAUGCACUUUUUCAUUUGCAGGUCAACAUCAGUUUGCUUCGCUGGACAAAACUCUAAGGGAAGGUGACAGCUUAGGCUGUGUUAUAGCCCUGGAGCGAUACAGUGGGGUGGACUGAGGUUUCGCAGUGUGUGCUUUCGGGCAAGGCUGACGGGGUGCUAUGGGAUCGUUCGGCGUACAAUGCUUGCAUUUUGCGUCGUGUCUUUUUCAUACUCGCUCUAAUCAGCUCUUCCACGCUUAGGAUGUUGACUUAAUGGUUUUAAACGACC
rnacentral:rRNA from 1 species